rnacentral:misc_RNA from 1 species
AAGUCGUAACAAGGUUUCCGUAGGUGAACCUGCGGAAGGAUCAUUAAUAAGUUGCCUCGCGCUCUCGAGCGUGCAGGUUAGAUUCCACGUGCGUAUCCCGAUGGGGUUGUGCGGUGGAGGGUAGUAAUACCCGCCUUUGGGAUGAAUAACUUAAACCCGUGUCUACCUUCUUUGUUGCUUUGGCGGGCCGCCUCACGGCACCGGCUCCGGCUGAUCAUGCCCGCCAGAGGACCCAAACUCUUUUGUUUUAGUGACGUCUGAGUACUAUAUAAUAGUUAAAACUUUCAACAACGGAUCUCU